UUGUAAAGGUAUGUUUAGCUGUAGAGCUUAUUCCUUAUAUUAUGUAUGUGAGGGCAUAUUGAAGAA
rfam:Leptotrichia hofstadii F0254 genomic scaffold Scfld2, whole genome shotgun sequence.